rnacentral:rRNA from 1 species
GAUGAACGCUGGCGGCGUGCUUAACACAUGCAAGUCGAGCGAGAAGUUUUGAAAAGAUUCUUCGGAUGAAAUUUAAAAUGGAAAGCGGCGGACGGGUGAGUAACGCGUAGGCAACCUGCCCCAUACAAAGGGAUAGCAUUUGGAAACGAAUAUUAAUACCUUAUGAAACUUAACUAGUGCAUGCUAGGUAGGUCAAAGAUUUAUCGGUAUGGGAUGGGCCUGCGUCUGAUUAGCUAGUUGGUGAGGUAACGGCUCACCAAGGCGACGAUCAGUAGCCGACCUGAGAGGGUGAACGGCCACAUUGGAACUGAGACACGGUCCAAACUCCUACGGGAGGCAGCAGUGGGGAAUAUUGCACAAUGGGGGAAACCCUGAUGCAGCAACGCCGCGUGAACGAUGAAGGCCUUUGGGUCGU